rnacentral:rRNA from 1 species
GACGAACGCUGGCGGCGUGCCUAAUACAUGCAAGUUGAGCGCUGAAGGUUGGUACUUGUCCCAACUGGAUGAGCAGCGAACGGGUGAGUAACGCGUGGGGAAUCUGCCUUUGAGCGGGGGACAACAUUUGGAAACGAAUGCUAAUACCGCAUAAAAACUUUAAACACAAGUUUUAAGUUUGAAAGAUGCAAUUGCAUCACUCAAAGAUGAUCCCGCGUUGUAUUAGCUAGUUGGUGAGGUAAAGGCUCACCAAGGCGAUGAUACAUAGCCGACCUGAGAGGGGGAUCGGCCACAAUGGGAAUGGGACACGGCCCAAACUCCUACGGGAGGCAGCAGUAGGGAAUCUUCGGAAAUGGACGAAAGUCUGACCGAGCAACGCCGGGGGAGUGAAGAAGGGUGUCGGAUCGUAAAACUCUGUUGGUAGAGAAGAACGUUGGUGAGGGUGGAAAGCUCAUCAAGUGACGGUAACUACACAGAAAGGGACGGCUAACUACGUG